UUUGUGUUUCAAGGACACUGAGACAUACUAGAGAAAGUGUUUAUUUUGGCAGGGCACGGAGCCGACAAUUAGCAGCGUCUGAGACACUGACUCCCUGCCAAACAACGGAAACGUUCGCAUGGGAUUGAGCAGUAACUCAGUAAUGAUCCCUCCGCUGGUUCACCAACGGAGA
rnacentral:misc_RNA from 1 species